rnacentral:misc_RNA from 1 species
AAGUCGUAACUCCGUAGGUGAACCUGCGGAGUCCAACGUUAAACCCCCGUGACGCUCGCACUUUCUUAGAAAAGGUAGCAAUCCCUGGUAAAUCAUUGCCGAACAGUUUUGAUUCAGGGACUUCUGCGUAGACUGUGCUUGAGCGUGAGGCAAGUGGCCUGGCAUUCCUCUGCUUGUUGGUGUCUGAAAGUGUCACCAGCUCUGUACGAAUGGCGCAGUCACGAUCGCUAGAGGCCGACACGGCCGGCGACCGGGUCACUGGGCGCGAGCCCCCCUCGUCACCUUUGCAUGAAAACGGGCCUGCGCUUAAUUGUGCGGCCACCAAACUCGAACAACUGUUAACAAUGGAUAUCUUGGUUCUC